rnacentral:rRNA from 1 species
CUAUAAUGCAGUCGAGCGACAGAUAAGGAGCUUGCUCCUUUGACGUUAGCGGCGGACGGGUGAGUAACACGUGGGUAACCUACCUAUAAGACUGGAAUAACUCCGGGAAACCGGGGCUAAUGCCGGAUAACAUAUAGAACCGCAUGGUUCUAUAGUGAAAGAUGGUUUUGCUAUCACUUAUAGAUGGACCCGCGCCGUAUUAGCUAGUUGGUAAGGUAAUGGCUUACCAAGGCGACGAUACGUAGCCGACCUGAGAGGGUGAUCGGCCACACUGGAACUGAGACACGGUCCAGACUCCUACGGGAGGCAGCAGUAGGGAAUCUUCCGCAAUGGGCGAAAGCCUGACGGAGCAACGCCGCGUGAGUGAUGAAGGGUUUCGGCUCGUAAAACUCUGUUAUUAGGGAAGAACAUAUGUGUAAGUAACUGUGCACAUCUUGACGGUACCUAAUCAGAAAGCCACGGCUAACUACGUGCCAGCAGCCGCGGUAAUACGUAGGUGGCAAGCGUUAUCCGGAAUUAUUGGGCGUAAAGCGCGCGUAGGCGGUUUCUUAAGUCUGAUGUGAAAGCCCACGGCUCAACCGUGGAGGGUCAUUGGAAACUGGGAAACUUGAGUGCAGAAGAGGAAAGUGGAAUUCCAUGUGUAGCGGUGAAAUGCGCAGAGAUAUGGAGGAACACCAGUGGCGAAGGCGACUUUCUGGUCUGUAACUGACGCUGAUGUGCGAAAGCGUGGGGAUCAAACAGGAUUAGAUACCCUGGUAGUCCACGCCGUAAACGAUGAGUGCUAAGUGUUAGGGGGUUUCCGCCCCUUAGUGCUGCAGCUAACGCAUUAAGCAC